CGCUGCGGGCGCGGCUGUGGUGUUGGUGGGGGUCUGUGAUGCUCUGAGAUGGUUUCUUCGGUCCGGUGUGUUCGGUCUGGUGCUCCCUAGAGAGAGGGCUGAGGCGGGUGGGCUGUCUUCAGGCUCCUCUGGGGCUUCCUUCACCUCGCAGCUCUCUUGCGCUCGCCCCACACCUGCCCCGCGCCGCCUCCCUCAGAGCUGUGCCGCCAUUUUCUCUCCGUUCUCCCCUUCGCGCCGCUCUGACGGAAUCCCGGGGUUACAAAGCCCGACCUCGGACUGCCACAUUAAGCCGUCACCGCAGCCCCCCUCUUGUGCCUCAGAAACCCCCGAAUGUGUUUAUAAAUAGCCCGUUUCUCCUUCCUUUCCCCUGUAUGUUUGCAGUUACAGCGAGGCUCAGCCUUCUCCCUCUGUCCUCACCACGUGCCUUGUCACCAGUGGUUCCUAAUGACCAGCUAAUGGUGAAAGAAAACGUAGUAUGUGGUUUGUUGUACCAGCAAAAAUGCACUGAUUUCUGGUUAUCUAGCUUUGCUUCGUCCCUUGAGAUACUCACAGAGGCAAAUCUGCCUGAGACUUGGACCAUAAGGACUGAAUAUUUGGCACAAUCUGACUACAGCAGAGACUAAAGCUGCACAGCUCCAUCACAGCUACCCCUGGCCCAGAGAGGGAAAAUGAUGGAAAACCCCUUCUUCUUCUCCAGCAAUGCCAAGAUGUGACAGCAUGUCUGCAGGCAGCCCUGCAGUGUUGAAUUUCAGCGUGAUUCAGAAGCACAACUUGGAAAGUAGAGGAUCAGGUAUUCCCACUACAGAAGUUUCAUAGCUCUGAUGUAACGUAUGACACUGCACAACACAAUGUAGAAUGAGAGGAUAAACAGAAGCAUUCUGCUACCAUUAAAACUGAUGUUAACUUCUUUUCUUUUUGGAUAUGGAGGAGUGAAAAGAGAGACUCUUCGUGAGUCAGAGGCAGGUCUCAGGGUCUUCCAUUCCUGAGUGAUACAGAGGUGCAUUGCAAUUCAGAUGAAAUUCCUGCUGCAGCUGAAAGGAGUGCAGUUUCUGGAUCUCUGGGGUAAGAUAAGAGAUAAAUCUUCAAGGGUCUGCUGAUUCGCAAACAAGGCCGUCAGAACCAACUAGAAAUGGUAUUAACUUUGCUUUUCGAGGAGAGCAACUUGGCCAUUUAUUAUAAGGUUGGAUAAAGCACUUGAUGAUGUUGUAGAAAUAGCUUUGAGUAGACAGGGUAUUAGGAAAGAUGAGGCAGCCAGAUCCUUUUAUCUCACAUUUCUCUGCUUCUCUUGGUAGAAUCUAAAAGAGGAUGUUUGUGAAGCUAUAACAGGGAUAUUUCAAAUACUGCAGGCAAACAUGAAAGGUCACGUUUCACCUUUCAGUACAGCAGGCUGCAUUACAGAGUGAUAGAGUUGGGUAGUAGGGAAAAACCCUUUUGUUUGCAGUGAAGGUUUUAUGAAUGGAGUCUCCUGUGUUGAGAUAAGAUGACCUUUGGGAAAGCUGAGAGUUGGUUUGAGCUCUUUGACCUGCAGCACAUCUAAUUAAUGGUUAUUUGUCCUUGAACAGCGCUCUUUUUUUCUGGUAGGUUGGUCUCAAAAUUAUAAAAUGGAUGUGAACAAGAAAUAACAGCAACAACAACAACAAAAAGAGAAUGGUUUGCUACAAUCUCAUAUCAAAUAUGUGAUUUGCUAAACUACCAAACCAAGUGUUUUUCUUACUAGCUCAUGAGUUGCCACACUUGCAUCAGUUCAAGCACUGCAAACCCAACCUGUUUAGAACUAGAAUUCCUAGAAACUUUCAAUUGACAAAGGGAUUCUCUGCCUGAGGGCACAGGAGCAGAGCAACUUGUGCCUUUGGAGUACUGGGAAAAAGGUUUCAAGCUACUUUCCAAUUUCAGGAAAAGCUGCUUUGUUCUUUCUAACACCCAUUGCAGUUUUUCCUUAGUUCCUUUUGUUAAAUUGUCACGUAAUCCACAAUGUCUGAUUCUGUCCUAUCAAAGUUAGGGACUUGUAGCUCCGUGUGGAUGUGCCUGCUAUUCCAUUUGUUAAAAUGAUCUGUGAGCAUGGCAGGGCUCACUUCUACUAAUGUGAGGAGAGAAGUGGAACCAGCUUCUUCCCGCAAUUAAUAUGAUCUUUAGAUACGGGAACAUCUGAAGUUUAGGUUAAGAACAGGAGGUUAAGCCUGGAGGCCAGAUGCUGAUCAGAUGCUGUGGCUCUGUGUGUUUUGCUAAGAGAAGCCUGUGUCAGCUCACAUCCCUGCAAACAGCUGCUCCUCCAGCACUGCCAGCAGAAAACAAUGGCUCUGUCUGUAGGCACAGCGCAGUCAGAGAGGGGAAGGUGCAUUUCUGGGCUGUCCCUUCAGUACGUGAGUGUGGGAUGAGUGAGGGGGGGAGGAAGGAGAAAGGGAGGAGUUGUCAUAUUAGUGCAGACCGAGCGGUGAGAUGGGAGGCAGCCGACUGAGUUCAGUGUCCCCCUGGGUUUGCUACUGCUGUGCUCAGAGAAAAACGCAUUGCAGAUUUCAUUUAGGCUGGCCAAGACUAGCUGCAUCUAGGGCUUGCCUUGAGGGGCAGAGUUACUAUCCAUAUUAUCUGACCUAAAUCAUUCCUUCAGGAGGGUUGUCAUGCCUCAGAGCAGCCUGCACUGGACUGAAAGUGCUGAGCACAGCGAGAUGGGAAAAUGCCUGAAGGAAGGGUUAAUUCUGGAUUUGUAGUUCCUUGGGGGUCAACCCUGUGUUUGGAGCUCUGGUAGAUCCUCUUGCUGGGAAUUUACCCCUGUGAAGCUGUAAUUUAGGGUUGAGGAGGGGACUGAAAGGGAACAGAAACUUUUUUUCCUGGGCUUCUCAAGGAAUCUGCCUGCAUGAGGUGACAUAAAGGGCCUGAGAUUGCUGUGUCAGGAACAGCAGAGGCAGCUGCAACUUAAGGAGUUAAUUUAAGUGAAGUUUCUCUGCACAUCCUUGGGGAAGGAUGGGACAAGGGAGGAUUUUUGCAAAUGGGAAAGGAGGGAGCAGCCUCUGUUGAGCGGCCCUUGGCGGUGCCCUCUGCGUGUCACUGCAGAGGUGUGGUGGUGGGAUCCUGCACUGCUGUCUGAAGUGAGAUUUCUGUACUGACAGAGCCCAGCUACGAGCAGGGAGGUGAAGGAAGGGACGAAAGUGAUUGAGUGGCUGCUGUUGGAGCGGAGCUUCGAGAAAGCAUUACUCACUGCCUCUCCUCUGCUCCUGCUGGGGAGCUGCCGCUUCUGCAGCAGGUCCGGUUCCUGGCAAAAGUUCAACACUGCACCAACUUUCCAAGAGAAGGGAGGGAGAGAGGAGGAGAGUCCCGCAUAGAGGAGGAGCCACCACGGCCCAGGCUCCCUCUGGACAUAAGCCUGACUGCUGCAAGAAAAGAACUGGAAAGAGCAAACCUCUUUACACAAAUAACAGAAGUGUGGCUUUAUCGCACACAGACCUCCCCCCAAAAGCCAGUGUUUGUGCUUGAUACUAUGUAAAACUCUCCCCAAAGUAGCUAGAAAUGAUAUAACAAAAUGGGGCAGGUGAUGGGAGUAUCCAGGGGUUUCGAAUGAUUUUCUCCCAGGGUUGGUAUUGCUGAAGUACCCUGAGAGAAGGAUUGGGGUGAAAUUGGGCAGUGAGGGGCAUCUAUUUACCCCUCCCCAGAAAAGAACAUCUGCGAGGAAGGUGUUAAAUCAGAAAUAGAAAGGUAGGGUGCGUAUCAGUCAGGACAAACCUAGUAGGAAAUGAGCAAAUGGCUGAGAAGCAGCUGCGUGGGCUCUGUACCAUUCACAGGUCUCUUCUUUCCUUCCCAAGGCCUUUGCCAGGUGCUGCGUUCCUUGCAAGAUAACAUUUGUGCUUUUCCCUACUGAGUCCAGAUUGCAGGAGCUGAGCCCACGUCUGCAGUGGGAGUGGGAAGGGCUAUUUCCAACUCCAGUCUGUGUGAUGGGGGUUAAUUUCUCUGCCUGCUACUGACCUUCCUCACCGAGCAACUGAAAUAAAGCAUGAGAUUCCUUUCCCACACGCACCUUGGUUACACACCUCCUGCAGGAGAGCAGCUUCAGUCACGGGGCUCUGUGUAUGUAAGACUCUUUGGCCCUUUUGUUCCUUUUCCAUCCUCUGCAGGUUAUUGAAGGCGGUGGUGUACAGCUAUGUGAGAAUCAGACGGGGUGCGGGAGAGGAAGAGCAAUCAGCUGCUCUGCUGCUCCCAGUGAGUAGGAGGUGAACGUGGCAGAGUGGGAGUUAAUAGCUUUUCUGCAGCUCUGAGGGAACACAGUGGCAUCUCCUGACUGCAGUGGGAAGAUAAGGAGUGGGGUACGGCAGCUUUGAUGCUCUUUCUGGAGCCCACCCAAGGGAAUGGGAUCCCAUGGGUGCUCAGGGAAGGCAAUGGGGGGGGAGGCUGUGGUGCUUGUUGUUGUUUAUUUCCAGGCAGGAGUGGAUCAGCUCUCUGUGGAAGUGGGUCUGGCUUGGCUGCAGUCUCUGCAGCUUAAAGAGAAGGGCGGUGACUGCUGCCACGCUCCCCUCCUGCCGCAGGAGGAUGCUGAGUCACUCCUGCAGCGCUGCUCCUGUUGGUUUGAACUUCCAAUCCUUCCUCCUCACCGCAGUGAAACUGCUGGA